rnacentral:rRNA from 1 species
ACGGAAAUAGGGGGCAACUCCUAUUUCAGUGGCGGAAGGGUUAGUAAUACAUGGGUAAUCUGCCUUUAACUUUGGAAUAACGGUUGGAAACGAUCGCUAAUACCAAAUGUGGCGGAAGAAGGCAUCUUCUUUUCGUUAAAGUGGGGGACUGUAAUAGGCCUCGCGGUUAGAGAAGAGCCCAUGCGAUAUCAGCUAGUUGGUGAGGUAAGAGCUCACCAAGG